rnacentral:rRNA from 1 species
UACGUAGGGGGCUAGCGUUGUCCGGAUUUAUUGGGCGUAAAGAGCGUGUAGGCGGCCAGAUAGGUCUGCUGUGAAAACUCGAGGCUCAACCUCGAGAUGUCGGCGGAAACCAUUUGGCUAGAGUCCGGAAGAGGAAAGUGGACUUCCUGGUGUAGCGGUGAAAUGCGCAGAUAUCAGGAAGAACACCCGUGGCGAAGGCGGCUUUCUGGGACGGUACUGACGCUGAGACGCGAAAGCGUGGGGAGCGAACAGG